UACGUAGGGCGCAAGCGUUGUCCGGAAUUAUUGGGCGUAAAGGGCUCGUAGGCGGUUUGUCGCGUCGGGAGUGAAAACCCAGGGCUUAACUCUGGGCUUGCUUUCGAUACGGGCAGACUAGAGGCAUGCAGGGGAGAACGGAAUUCCUGGUGUAGCGGUGAAAUGCGCAGAUAUCAGGAGGAACACCGGUGGCGAAGGCGGUUCUCUGGGCAUGUCCUGACGCUGAGGAGCGAAAGUGUGGGGAGCGAACAGG
rnacentral:rRNA from 1 species